CGGUUAAGUUAGAAAGGGCGCACGGUGGAUGCCUUGGCACUAGGAGCCGAUGAAGGACGGGACGAACACCGAUAUGCUUCGGGGAGCUGUAAGCAAGCUUUGAUCCGGAGAUUUCCGAAUGGGGAAACCCACUGCUCGUAAUGGAGCAGUAUCCAUAUCUGAAUUCAUAGGAUAUGAGAAGGCAGACCCGGGGAACUGAAACAUCUAAGUACCCGGAGGAAGAGAAAGCAAAUGCGAUUCCCUGAGUAGCGGCGAGCGAAACGGGAACAGCCCAAACCAAGAGGCUUGCCUCUUGGGGUUGUAGGACACUCUGUACGGAGUUACAAAGGAACGAGGUAGAUGAAGAGGUCUGGAAAGGCCCGCCAUAGGAGGUAACAGCCCUGUAGUCAAAACUUCGUUCUCUCCUGAGUGGAUCCUGAGUACGGCGGAACACGUGAAAUUCCGUCGGAAUCCGG
rnacentral:rRNA from 1 species